AGGAUUUGUCCUUAGUACGAGAGGACCGGGAUGAACAUACCUCUGGUGUACCAGUUGUUUCGCCAGAAGCAACGCUGGGUAGCUAAGUAUGGAAGGGAUAACCGCUGAAUGCAUCUAAGCGGGAAACCCACCUUGAAACUAGGUAUCCCAAUUAAGACCGUGGUAGACCACCACGUUGAUAGGUUGGGUGUGUAAGCACAGCAAUGUGUUUAGCUAACCAAUACUAAUAGUCUGAUUGGCUUGAUUUACUUA
rnacentral:rRNA from 1 species